UGACCUCAAUCAGGUAAGAACACCCGCUGAACUUAAGCAUAUCAAUAAGCGGAGGA
rnacentral:rRNA from 1 species